rnacentral:lncRNA from 1 species
UAGUACAUAAAUUUCUCAGAGAAUGAGAAAAUAGAUUAAGAAACAAAAUUUGAAAUUAAAACCAAAGAGAUGAUAAGAACUAAAUGGACUAGAUACCUCAUUGACGUAUAUACUUAUUGAACUCUUCAAAAUUUAGAUCCAAUUAUCUGAAUUCUUUUUAAAAAAACAUAAAAACUUCUGUACCUAAUCACCAAAUAUUUAACAUACCAAAAGUCGUUUUAGAAAAAAAAGUGCAAUAGAUACAUACACUUCAAUCUGUGUUAUUUCUCGUGGGAAUCCUCUUUUACCACCAGUGGUAGAUCAGCGGCAUUUUAAAUCCAGCUCACGUAUUUGAAUCGAAAAAUAACCAAAGUCUUGUAUUUUCUUCAACUUCAAGAUAUGAUGAGUCGACAUUAUUGCUUUUUUCUGGGGGGGGUGGGGUGGGGGUAGCAAUGCUAGUUCGUCUCUGACUGACGAAUUGACACAAAUAUUCCCUCAACUUCAAGAUAUGAUGAGUCGACAUUAUUGCUUUUUUCUGGGGGGGGUGGGGUGGGGUGGGGUAAUCCAUUUACAAACAUCUUCUUUUUCUGUUUCUGGUACAUCCAAUAGAAUUGACAUCCAUAACUCUAAGAAUUUGCCUCUCAUCUACUAAUUUCCUCUUGGAUAAAGCUACUUUUUUUGGUUUCUUUGGUGCAGGUGGACAGCUGAGAUUUUUUGGGAUAAAAAACUUAGGUGAAGUUGGUGUUAGACAUUUAUUUUCUUCACUAGUACUACUACUACUGCAUUUUUCAGAAUUCAUAAACUUCAAAUUCUGAUUCUGUCUCUGUCCAUCAACAGUCUUGAAAAAUGAGUCAACUUCAUCUCUUGCUACGAUCUCGAAAAAUUGCAGCUCGUGAUCUAAUAAUUUCCUUUUACAGGAAGGUAUCCUUUUAGGUUUCUUUGGUGCAGUUGGACAGUUGAGAAUUUUAGGGAGUAAAAACUGAGGUGAUUUUGGUGUGUGACAUUCUUCUUCAUUGCUAAUAGUACUACUGCAUCUUUCUUCUGUAUUACUAGAAUUUUGAGAAGUAGUAAUCUUGAUAUUUGGUAACUGGUUUUCCAAGAAAUCUUGUUGGAAUUCUAGAUCUGUGGACAUAGCUUUUUUGGGCAGAGUUUAGAAUUUUUGAGGAAUUGAAAGAGAGAAAGAGAGAAAAAAGGGAGGUG